rnacentral:rRNA from 1 species
AGAGCGAACGCUGGCGGCAGGCCUAACACAUGCAAGUCGAGCGCCGUAGCAAUACGGAGCGGCAGACGGGAGAGUAACACGUGGGAACGUGCCCUUUGGUUCGGAACAACACAGGGAAACUUGUGCUAAUACCGGAUAAGCCCUUACGGGGAAAGAUUUAUCGCCAAAAGGAUCGGCCCGCGUCUGAUUAGCUAGUUGGUGAGGUAACGGCUCACCAAGGCGACGAUCAGUAGCUGGUCUGAGAGGAUGAUCAGCCUCACUGGGACUGAGACACGGCCCAGACUCCUACGGGAGGCAGCAGUGGGGAAUAUUGGACAAUGGGCGCAAGCCUGAUCCAGCCAUGCCGCGUGGAUGAUGAAGGCCCUAGGGUUGUAAAGUCCUUUCGGCGGGGAAGAUAAUGACGGUACCCGCAGAAGAAGCCCCGGCUAACUUCGUGCCAGCAGCCGC